AGGGGAUACGUUAGAUUGGCUUACGUGGAAUGGGCUGGGGAGCCCAGCAAUGGCUGUCUGACCUCUAGAGAGGCCGAGAAUGCUACAAUCAGCUCAGUCCGUGGGACUGGAUGCCUCAAUAGGCCUAGGCUGGCACUGAAGGCUGGAGAUUCUAGGAGAGCAGUGGGUCUCAGUUUACAUUGGAAGGCUGAUGAAGCUGGGUUCUGACCGCUGCCACGAUAGCUGAGAGCAAGCAGGAGCAGUGACGUGAACCAGAGAGACUCUUAUCAGCAGGAAAGGAAGGCAGGUGAGCUUCCUUCUUUCUAUCUGGGCAGCUGCUGGAAGGUGCCACCCACUGUGGGAGGGUCUUCCUGCCCCAGUUAGUCCUUCCUGGAAAUCCCCUCACAGACACUCCUCCCCAUACCUUGCACGUCCCUUAAUUUCAGAUCCAAUCCAGUUGACGACCAAGACUAACCAUCGCAUGUGUGGACUGAGAUCAUCAUAUGUGGAUGCUGGCUGACUGCUGGAACCCAACCAGGAAUAAAGCUCUGUGAGCCCCACCCCAAUGGCUCCGUGGAGGAGCCUUUGCGAGGAAGCACCUGAACUGCUCCCAGCUCCCCCUGAGUGGGCUCCAUGGCCUAAGUUCCUUGCAGGAAGUACCAUCUCUAAAGCUACGUGUGAGCAUGGGCAUUAUGGGACCCAAGCCUCUAGUGCACAGCAGAAACGUUGCUACGAGGGGCCAAGGAGGAAGAGUCUGGAAUCGGACCCACACUGGGGGUGGGAGUGCAUUGUGGACGCUGGGCAAUCAUUUGCACAGAUCUGGAGAAAGCAACUGCCCUGCACGUUAGGCUGAGAAGAUGCAGGGUGGGCGUCAGCGUGGGUGAAUGGCAAGCUGACUCUUUACAACGUCAGUGUAACCUGUGUGACCCCAGGCUAGUUUCUUAAUCUUGCUGAAUGCCAGUGUCCAAUCUAUAAAUCCCUCAUUUAUAGUACUUCUUUUAGAGUGUGUAUAGUCUGUAAAUCUGUAAACAGUACC
rnacentral:lncRNA from 1 species